rnacentral:rRNA from 1 species
AGAGUUUGAUCCUGGCUCAGAUUGAACGCUGCGGCAGGCUAACACAUGCAAGUCGAGCGGGAAAAGUAGCUUGCUACUUAACUAAGCGGCGGACGGGUGAGUAAUACUUAGGAAUCUGCCUAUAGUGGGGGACACAUUUCGAAAGGAAUGCUAAUACCGCAUACGUCCUACGGGAGAAAGCAGGGGAUCACUUGUGACCUUGCGCUAAUAGAUGAGCCUAAGUCGGAUUAGCUAGUUGGUGGGGUAAAGGCCUACCAAGGCGACGAUCUGUAGCGGGUUUGAGAGGAUGAUCCGCCACACUGGGACUGAGACACGGCCCAGACUCCUACGGGAGGCAGCAGUGGGGAAUAUUGGACAAUGGGGGGAACCCUGAUCCGGCCAUGCCGCGUGUGUGAAGAAGGCCUUUUGGUUGUAAAGCACUUUAAGCGAGGAGGAGGCUACUCUAGUUAAUACCUAGGGAUAGUGGACGUUACUCGCAGAAUAAGCACCGGCUAACUCUGUGCCAGCAGCCGCGGUAAUACAGAGGGUGCGAGCGUUAAUCGGAUUUACUGGGCGUAAGGCGUGCGUAGGUGGCCAAUUAAGUCAAAUGUGAAAUCCCCGAGCUUAACUUGGGAAUUGCAUUCGAUACUGGUUGGCUAGAGUAUGGGAGAGGAUGGUAGAAUUCCAGGUGUAGCGGUGAAAUGCGUAGAGAUCUGGAGGA